AGAGUUUGAUCCUGGCUCAGGAUGAACGCUAGCUACAGGCUUAACACAUGCAAGUCGAGGGGCAGCAUGGUCUUAGCUUGCUAAGGCCGAUGGCGACCGGCGCACGGGUGAGUAACACGUAUCCAACCUGCCGUCUACUCUUGGACAGCCUUCUGAAAGGAAGAUUAAUACAAGAUGGCAUCAUGAGUCCGCAUGUUCACAUGAUUAAAGGUAUUCCGGUAGACGAUGGGGAUGCGUUCCAUUAGAUAGUAGGCGGGGUAACGGCCCACCUAGUCUUCGAUGGAUAGGGGUUCUGAGAGGAAGGUCCCCCACAUUGGAACUGAGACACGGUCCAAACUCCUACGGGAGGCAGCAGUGAGGAAUAUUGGUCAAUGGGCGAGAGCCUGAACCAGCCAAGUAGCGUGAAGGAUGACUGCCCUAUGGGUUGUAAACUUCUUUUAUAAAGGAAUAAAGUCGGGUAUGCAUACCCGUUUGCAUGUACUUUAUGAAUAAGGAUCGGCUAACUCCGUGCCAGCAGCCGCGGUAAUACGGAGGAUCCGAGCGUUAUCCGGAUUUAUUGGGUUUAAAGGGAGCGUAGAUGGAUGUUUAAGUCAGUUGUGAAAGUUUGCGGCUCAACCGUAAAAUUGCAGUUGAUACUGGAUAUCUUGAGUGCAGUUGAGGCAGGCGGAAUUCGUGGUGUAGCGGUGAAAUGCUUAGAUAUCACGAAGAACUCCGAUUGCGAAGGCAGCCUGCUAAGCUGCAACUGACAUUGAGGCUCGAAAGUGUGGGUAUCAAACAGGAUUAGAUACCCUGGUAGUCCACACGGUAAACGAUGAAUACUCGCUGUUUGCGAUAUACUGCAAGCGGCCAAGCGAAAGCGUUAAGUAUUCCACCUGGGGAGUACGCCGGCAACGGUGAAACUCAAAGGAAUUGACGGGGGCCCGCACAAGCGGAGGAACAUGUGGUUUAAUUCGAUGAUACGCGAGGAACCUUACCCGGGCUUAAAUUGCAGAUGAAUUACGGUGAAAGCCGUAAGCCGCAAGGCAUCUGUGAAGGUGCUGCAUGGUUGUCGUCAGCUCGUGCCGUGAGGUGUCGGCUUAAGUGCCAUAACGAGCGCAACCCUUGUUGUCAGUUACUAACAGGUUCCGCUGAGGACUCUGACAAGACUGCCAUCGUAAGAUGUGAGGAAGGUGGGGAUGACGUCAAAUCAGCACGGCCCUUACGUCCGGGGCUACACACGUGUUACAAU
rnacentral:rRNA from 1 species